AUUGAACGCUGGCGGCAUGCUUUUCACAUGCAAGUCGAACGGUAACAGGCCUUCGGGUGCUGACGAGUGGCGAACGGGUGAGUAAUGCAUCGGAACGUGCCCAGAGGUGGGGGAUAACGCAGCGAAAGCUGUGCUAAUACCGCAUGUGAUCUGAGGAUGAAAGCGGGGGACCAGGCAGCAAUGUUUGGCCUCGCGCCUUUGGAGCGGCCGAUGUCAGAUUAGGUAGUUGGUGGGGUAAAGGCCUACCAAGCCGACGAUCUGUAGCUGGUCUGAGAGGACGGCCAGCCACACUGGGACUUAGACACGGCCCAGACUCCUACGGGAGGCAGCAGUGGGGAAUGUUGGACAAUGGGCGCAAGCCUGAUCCAGCAAUGCCGCGUGCGGGAAGACGGCCUUCGGGUUGUAAACCGCUUUUGUACGGAACGAAAAGGCUCUGGCUAAUACCUGGGGCUGAUGACGGUACCGUAAGAAUAAGCACCGGCUAACUACGUG
rnacentral:rRNA from 1 species